UCCUUUAAAGUUAUAUAGAACAUCGAUUUUGUAAAUCGAAAGAAUAUAUUAGGAAU
rnacentral:tRNA from 1 species